GCAGCCGUGACCCUGCUGGAGUGCGGGGGAGACCUUCAGCCCCCCGGGGGGUCCCUGACUCUGCUCUGCCGAGGGUCUGGGUUCAAUUUUGGGAGUUACUACAUGCAGUGGGUUCGCCGGAGCCCCGGGAAGGCGCUGGAAUGGAUUGCAGGGAUCAGCAGCAGUGGUGGCAGCAUGUACUAUGCACCGUCGGUGCAGGGCCGGUUCACGAUCUCCAGGGACAACGGGCAGAGCUCGGUGACGCUGACCAUGAACAACCUCAAGGACGAGGAUUCCGGUGUUUAUUUCUGUGGCAAACGUGAUAAUGGUAAUGCUGGUGCUGAUGCCAGAGCUGGUUCUGUCCCACCCCAGCUGCUCUGA